rnacentral:tmRNA from 1 species
GGGGAUGAUAGGCUUCGACGGAGAAGGCUGGUCACGGAUGGCAAGCCGGGGCGCUCUGACCCCGUUAACAAUGGAGCACAAACUCCAAAGUGCCAAUAACACUUGGUUUCCUGUUCCUCAGCCUGCGAUGAUGGCUGCCGCUCCAAUGGUAGCCUAGUCCAUUCUGGGAACAAACUGACCACUAGAUGGUCACGUCCGCUCCGGUUUUUCGCUGGCGAGCCGGGGGUCGGACGUCAAACAGUCAGCGUGCAGCGCUCCAACGCCGAUGAGGGCGCUCAAGCGGGAGUUUCGGCUCCCAUCGGCUAGGUCUGAGUGCAGCGCGGUCGGCAGUGACUCCUCAGACGAGAACUAAAAGGGCCGACUAAGCUUGUAGAGGUCCCUGAUCGAAUUUUUCGGACGCGGGUUCGAUUCCCGCCAUCUCCACCA